UAUUCUCUUUUUAUUCUCAGG
rnacentral:piRNA from 1 species